rnacentral:rRNA from 1 species
GGUGAAUUUCACAUCAAAUUCCACCUCUGAAACAAAGCUGAUAAUUUUAUAUGGAGCCUGGUAAUACUGUAUGGUGUUGCCCAAGAUGAGCAUAAAUCUGCUUUCCUUAGGGAAUUAAUAAAUCUGGCUAGUGAUAACCCAUAUCCAAUGGUUAUUGGAGGGGACUUUAAUAUCCUUAGGUACCAGGAAGAGAAAAAUAAUGACCGCUUUGAUACACACUGGCCUUUCCUAUUCAAUGUAGUCAUUGACAGUUUGAUUUUUCAGGAAGCUAGUAUGUCGGGCCACAAAUUCACUUGGGCUAAUAACCGUGUCGUGCCGACAUACGAGAAGCUUGAUAGGGUACCCAUAGAUACCGACUGGGAGCUAAAAUUUCAUAUGGUAACCGUACCGACCCUAGAGUGUAUCAAGGAAUUAUCGGAUCAUGCGCCUAUCAUUCUUGAUUCUAACUCUACGGGUCCAUCUACUGCCGGCCCUUUCAAUUUUGAAUUGGGAUGGUUGCACCAGGAAGGCUUUGAGGACAUAAUCAAGAAUGUAUGGGCUCAUAGAGUAGAACAAUAUCCUCAUGACACCUUUCUCUGA